ensembl:lncRNA
GAUUGGGAGUAGAACCGGAUUGGAGCAGAACCGGAGCGGGGCUGGGAACGCUCUGAAUUGAACCGGAUCUGGAGUGGAAUCGGAUCGGAACCGGAUCGGAACGGAUCGGAACCGAAGUGGGUCAGAACUGAAGCAGAUCAGGAGUGGGAUUCGUCCAGAACGGAACUGGAUCAGAACGGAACCGGAUCAGAUCAGAACUGAACCAAAUGAGGAGUGGAAGUGGAUCAGAACCCAAAGCGGAUUAGGAGUGAAACCGGAUCAGAACCGAACUGGGACCCGGGGGUGGCAGCGGCUGUGUGGGGCCCCCCCACAGCACAGCGGGAGCUGCAGGAGCUGCGGGAGCGCAUGGAGAGGCUCCAGGAGGACUUUGCCGCCUCUCAGCAUCUGAACCGGGUCCUGGGGGAGCGCCUGCAGGGUCUGGCGCAGGCGGUGGCCCUCCAGAGGGUGGCGCUGUCCCAGGGGUUGGCUGAGGCCCUACAGCAGUUCCUGGUGACCCCAACGGGGCAGGAGGUGGCCGUGGGGGUACAGAUGCCCCCAUGGGGUCGGACCCCCCGUGAUGGCAAUGGGGACAGCGAGGAGGGGCCGCUGCCGCCCCCCCCCGGCCUUCCGGGACCCCCCCG